rnacentral:rRNA from 1 species
CUUCACUUCAAAGUAGAGGUUUGUGGUAAUGGUGGACUGACAGAUUAGCUCCAAGGCCUGAGCGCCUAGGUUGUAGUGGUAAGAGUCACUGCCGAUAGAGUUCCAACUGCCAGAGUCUUCAAUAAGAAAGAGGCGUCUAAGUAAACAAAAGUGAGAUCUUUCUAGUUCUUGAACUAGCCUUCCCCAUCUUGAACUCAAGUGAGGAACUCUUCUCUUAUAUAAGCUAUUUCUCCUUGAAAUGCUAUUCUAUCCAUCUUAUUCUUCUAUGUAAGUAAAGACUAGCAGGGCAUUCUGUUGCAUCAAUUUCUCUCUCACUCACGAUGAAAGCUAAGAGCUUGCUCGAAGACAACCUUUACUUUUUAGAAGUAAUCUUUCCUAUUCUUUAGGUGGGGAUAGGUUCAUAGGAGAACUUGGUUACAUAGGAAGGAAAGGCUUAAACAAGAAGGGAUAAGAAAGGAAGUUACACUAUAUCUUGGUAAUGGCACUCCAACAUACUCGGCAAGAAGAGAAAGAAGAGAAAGAGAAUAGGAAGUAUGAUGAAAAUGGUAUGAAAUAGGUUUCUUGUAGUGAUUGUGAUUUCUUAUUUGGUUAGGAUUACCAGCCUGACCAAAGAAUAAGAUAAAAAGAAGAGUUCCCACCUAUGACUAUAUGCCCAUUAAGAGCUAUACCUAGAGUCGAGCUAACUGCAUAGGCAGAGGGGAAAUUUCCUAAAAAUCCUAAUAGAAAUUAACCACAUUAGAAAUGAUGAAUCACACUUUGAAAGGAGGUUCCCUCCCAAUAGAUGUCAGGAGGGAGCAAGGCAUGAUUUCUGUAUUAUCCUCCGACCGCCCCCUUUCAACCUCGAAGUAGUGGUGAUGGCGUGUCUUGCUGCAAUCAUUCCGUUCAAUCCAUUUCCUAAACCAUAUGUAAGGGAUGACAGGAGAUGGCCCCUAUAGAAAAAUAAACCAGCCCCUCAUUUGAGAGAGUAAAUAGAAUAGUGUCAGGCUUACGACAGUCUGACUUUUAAAUGACUAAGCAACUACUAAGCUCCCACCCACCCCCAACAAAUUAGGUUAAUGUGUUCAUUCAUACCUUCAAGAGAACUAAAAUAUUGGCCCAUGACCAUGUUUACUUCAUAUUUAAGAGCAAACAUCUUGGCUCUCAGGGCCUCAGGCAACCCUGGAUCCUUUCCUACUUCCUUAGUGAUUCCAAGGAGAUGCUUCAACCCCGUUAAUUUUUAGAUAGCUAUUAUAGUCCAAUAAAUAUUUCCAAUUCCAUUUUGGAAUAUUUUCAUUCGGGAUUAGAAUGAACUAUAUUGUAAGAGAAGAGAGAAGUUGAACCAUCUUUCUUUGGUUGCCUCUCCUAUCUGGUCGAGUAGCUUUUGAUCCUUUCUACUUACUUUAUUAUAAUAUAUGCUUAAGCUGCUAUAUGGCCUAUUGGGAUAUUUUUAGUCAUAGUGGGAGCUUUUGGAAAUUACUUGGUAGGUCAAUAUCAUAGGAAGAGGGAAAAACAAGGGAGAAGAUCUUAUUUAAAAGAAGACGAUUCCAAAAAAAAAUGUCAAAACGGGGAAUAGGAUGCCUUAAAAGUAAAUAAGAAAGAUCCUAAAUAAAAAAUAAAAUAUCUAUUAAACCGAUUACAUGAAUACCAUUUACAGUACCUAUUAUCCAAAGAGGAAUUCUUCUAGUAGUAUCGGCUAUUUACCCCACUUCCCUCUAGAUUUCAUCAAGUGGUUAUGCUAGAGACAUAAACAACCUUGGAUAAUUGAAUUAUGAGAUCCUUUCGAACGAGUUAAGAGAAUCUUAUUUAUUCUCUUUCAUUUUGUUAAUUGUAGAAUAAUUUGAAAAUAAAAAAGCAAGUAUAAAAAUGAGUAAUAACACCCAGUAGAGUUUGGUAUGAUGAAAUUCAACAUUUUGUUCAUUUGGGUUUGAUUGUGUCGUAGCUCUAUAAUUUGGAUGUUCUUAUCGUUGGAUGAACUGCUGAUAUUGAUCCCCCAAAAAAGAUUGUAGGUAUAGCUAGGCCGUGAACAACCAACCAUCGUACUAUAAAAAUUAGAUAGGUUAGAUCUAUAGUUAUUAGGGCCUCUUAAAAUGAUCUACUAAAUUCAUUGAGUUGUUCCAAAGGAUCAAAAUGGCCAGUUAUUAAUGGAAUUCCUUGUUGGGUAAGUUUCGAUCUGCACGAAAGGUGUAAAGAUCUGGGCACUAUCUCAAAGAGAGGCUCGGUGAAAUAGACAUGUCUGUGAAGAUGCAGACUACCUGCACCUGGAUUGAAAGAUCCUAUAAAGCUUCGCUGUUCCUUGGGAUUAGCUUUGGGCCUUUCUUGUAUAGCUUAAGUGGAAAGCGAAGAAGGCCUCCUUCCAGGGGACCCGAGCUUCAGUGAGAUACCACUCUGGAAGGGCUAGAAUUCUAACCUUGUGUCAGGACAUAUGGGCCAAGGGGUAGUCUCAGGUAGACAGUUUCUAUGGGGCAUAGGCCUCCUAAAAGGUAACGAAGGUGUGCAAAGGUUUCCUCGAGAUAGACGAAGAUUGGCCCUCGAGUACAAAGGCAGAAGGGAGUUUGACUGCAAGACUCACCCAUCGAGCAGGGAUAAAAGUCGGCCUUAGUGAUCCAACAGUGCCGAGUGGAAGGGCCAUCACUCAAUGGAGAAAGGUUACUCUAGGGAUAACAGACUAAUCUUCCCCAAGAGCUCACAUUGACGGGAGUGUUUGGCACCACGAUGUUGGCUCUUCGCCACCUGGGGCUGUAGUAUGUUCCAAGGGUUCGGUUGUUCGCCCAUUAAAAUGGUACAUAAGCUAGGUUCAGAAUGUCGUGAGAUAGUUUGUCCAUAUCCGGUGUGGGCAUUAGAGCAUUGAGAGGACCUUUUCCCUUGUACGAGAGGGACAUGAAGGAUGCACUUUUGGUGUACCACUUAUUGUACCCACGGUAAAUACUUGGUAGCCAAGUGCAGAGUGGAUAACUACUGAAAUCAUCUAAGUAGUAAGCCCACCCCGAAAUGAGUGCUUUCCUAUUACAAAUUCCCUAGAGCUUCUGAUAGCACAACCGAGAUAGCGAUGGGUUCUCUGCCUCUGUAGGGAUAGAGCGACAGAACUUUUUUUGAGAAUUCAAGAGAAGGUCACGACGAGAUGAGACAUUAAUCAUUACGAUAGGUGUCAAGUGGAAGUGCAGCGAUGUAUGCAGCUGAGGCAUCCUAUCAGACCGGUAGAUUUGAAC